rnacentral:sRNA from 2 species
CGCACACUCCGUUUCAUCAUUCUAUCAUUUAACCCUCCCGGACUCUUCUCUCAACUCUCGAUAUUGCUGUUCUCAUAUCCUGUGGCUGUAGGGGAAAAAAUUGCCUUGUUAGGAGGAUGUUUCCGCUAUCAAGCAUCAUUCAUGAUUCAUCCUGCCCAUGGCUGUGGGACGGGCAACUGGACUGAAGGCCCCAGGACGAAACAUUGUACUGUGUACCAUGAAAAGCCAUAACAGAUUCCCCAUUAUAUGGCAAAAUGUGCCCUCUGCAAAUAAAGUAAAUCUCCACUCUGGCACAGAUGAAAUCUUUCUACAGUCUGUAUGUAAGACUUAGAGUGUAGAAGAUCACAUCAAGGGUGUGCUGUUUGCUAUCCCCUCGUCUGGCCGCGAGGACACAAUUAGCGAAUACAAUUAGUGUAACAACCAAG